AUUGUGCCAUCUAGAAAGGGCAGAGAGGAGGAAUAGAGUGCUCUGCGUCUUGAAAUAUAAACAUGCACAUAGCCACAUGCUUUGAUUCUGUUGUCACUGUGUACUUACUGCUAGGAAGAGGGCAUGUUUGUGUAUUUUUAUGCUAAUUAUUAUCCAAGUUGUUAAUGAUUUACGCUUUCAGAACCAUAUAAAGAUUUUUUUCCUUUCAGAUAUAAACUAUCUUGCAUUGUUCUUCUGAUCAUAUGAGGGAUAAAUUUGCCUAAAUAUUCUUCAGACCAUAAUAGUAUGUCCAUAUAAAUGCCAGUAGCAAGAGUAGAAUCAACCACAACUGCCUUAGUAAUUAUUUAAAGCAUGUCUGCCUAUAAGUAAUUGGCAUUUUAUAUAAUCAAGAAUCUUUGAUAUAAUAAUCUCUCAACUAUUUGAAACACGGCUCACAUGUAUUAAUUUUUUAAGCAAAUAUAUAUAUAAUAUCAGUGUAUAUGAAACUGAAUUUUGGACUUUAGAACAGCUUCUUAGAAUCCUGACUUAAAUGUCUACAGUAAUAGUUGGCUUAAAAAAAUUUAGCACACUGUCACUAUGAUGAAAAAAAUUACUAUAAAAUAUUUAAAAAUUUUUUCCACCCUAACAUUUAGAAUAUUCUCACAUUUGUGGUUAAAACCUAUUGUGAUUGUUCUUAGAAUUUAGAUAAAAAAUGUCCCAGAAAGAUUGAAGAGAAGCACUUUAGUCAAUUUUUAGUUGUUGAAGCAUGAAGAAAUGGCAUUUCAUUGACAUUUUAAAAAUUAUUCAGAUUCCCUCUUUGAAUUCAAGAAUUUCAAAGAUAUCUUAUUUUAAAAUACCAAAAUAGGAAUAGAAUAUGAAGGGCUGGUUAUGAGUAAUAUGAUACAAUUUUAUGAGAUGAUGAGAUUACAAUAACAAUACCUCCUCUCAUAGAAUAGCCAGCAAGUCUCCACUAAAUAACAGUGCCUUGAUUUUAUAGAUGUUUCAUCAUGGAUAUUGAGUUAAUGUGAACCAUUUGUAGACACAGGAGUUUAUUAAAGACUUAUAUAAUAUCUUUCAAGUAUUUAGAAUAGUGUUGAAAUUAAGCCUGCAUCCCCACGAUUUUCAGCGGUGCUGAUGCCUAAUAAACUCAACCCCUUGCAUGCCAAAAUUGGCUUAAAGCCCAUCUGUUACCCAAGCUACACUUCAAGCAUCGAGGUUCAAAAAUGUGAUUUUGAAUAUGCAAGAGUUUGAGGAAUUCACUACUCACACUUUCUUGAACAGUCUAUCCAAGUGCAUCAAGCAAAAUGUGAGUAAAGAAAUUUUGAGCAAAGGAUUGAUAGUAAUGUUGAAUACAUUUAAUAGUAGAUCAAAGAUUAAAAGGUGAAAGUGAGGGUGAGAAGAGUGUAUGAAUGCUUUGUGUUCUGACAAAGAGAAUGUAGCACCCAGGUCCUACCUGCUUGGAUGCAUUGCCAGUGCCCACGGUAGGCCAUUUUAUCCAGGUUUUUAGGUAUUGUCUUAUUUUGUUUGUUUUUUUUCUUUUCAGGAGUCUUAGUCCAAGACCAAUAACUCCGUAACUGGUAGAUUUGGAAGACUUUAAUAGUGCUUAACAUUUUGUACAUAGCUUUAUAACAGUUUUCUUUUUCUUUUUUUCUGAGAGAUUCUUUUCAAUAUACCCCAUCAUGGUUGAACUCAAAAAUCAUUGCUUAUUUAAAAUCUACAACUGCUGACGUUUUGUAACGUUCGCAUUCCAGAUACAACAGAGAAAUGCAUAAUGUCCAGUCAAUUUAUUAAAGUUCCAAAGUCGGUCGCGCGCAGUGGCUCACGCCUGUAAUCUCAACACUUCGGGAGGCCGAGGCGUGUGGAUCACGAGUAUGUUUCCAGUCUCAAUAGAAAUCGAUGCCAAUCCAGAAAUACAAGCAUUAUUCUAAUACUUCUCACACAUUACUGCAGGAGUGAGGACACAGCGAAAGUGAGACAAGGAAAAGAGAACAAAAUAAAACAGGAAAGACAGAAAAGCCAAUACCACACGUGUUAAGAGUUUCAAGGAAAAUAUGUUUGGAGUUCCUGGCAUAGAGAAUGUCACAAAGACAUGUUUUCAAUAGUAGUGCUAUCCCGAGCGCAGAGAAGACCCAAAGAAAGCCCAAGUGGCUGCUGGAACAAAAUCAGACACCGUGCCACCUGUCCACACUCCUUGGCUCUGCCAUCAUGCUGAAGAUCGCUUUAAAGGACUGGCUUCCCUCCCCCCAAAAUUAAAAGAGCACAGACUGAGAAACUGAAUGUGGGAGACAGCAGUGGAUUAUGCUGUUCUCAGGGGUCACCUCAGGUUUGGAAGCAUUCUUUCAAAUUAACCCAUCUCAGGCCAUCUGCAGAGAAGAAAGGUGGUACCUAACUUUUUUUCUUGUCGGCAUUUGGUAGGGGUGUUUUAUUGACCAAAUAUGUUCCCACAACCUCGUUUUUUGUGACUAACUAAAUAUAGUAGAGUUUUAAAUUUUAUCAUCAAAAUCUAUAGACAAUUUUUGAUGAAAAUAGACUCCAUCUCUAUGUCCUGCUUUUCUUCUUCUUAUUAAUUACAUUGCUGUAUAAAAGAACAAGACUUCAGCAUCAAGAAUAUCUUGUCUCUUGGCAUUGAAUUUAUACAAGGUGCUCUUUCUUUAAUGCUGUCUCAAAGGACAUAUUUUUACUCAUUAAAAAGGAAGAUCGGAAUCUAGUUGUAUGCACUGCUCCAACAUAUUAAUAAUUAAAAUUAGGAGGUAAAUGUGGUCAAAGCUAUAGAAAGACUGAGAUGUCAUUUACAUCGAUUACUCUAUAGCACUCUACAAACAGAAAUUGUUAAAUAAUAGUUUAUAUAAAUAUUUUGUAGCAUUUCAAAUAUUUGAGUGCUUGAAGUUUCUCCUCUUUUAUAGUUCAGAUUAUCAAUUUGAAGACUUACUCCGCUAGUUAAUAUGUUUUUAGUCUCGUUUGAGUAUUAUAUAAAAGCAAUUUUCAGUUAAAUGUGUUCCGCUUACAUAAAACGUUACAAAUUAUUGAGGAUUUAAUUACUUAUUCAUGUUCCUGUAAUGUCUUUAGAAGAUUUUCUUAUUAUUACCUAUCAAUAUAUGUAUGCUUUGUCAAAGAAAAAUCAAACAUAUAUAUCAUUGAAAUUGAAACUUUUUAAAAGUACUUAUUAAUUCUAUUGAAAAACCACAUCCAUAGGAACAAUUACAAUAUAAUAUUGUGAACAUGUAAACAUAUACCCUAUGUCUAUUUUAUGUAUAAGCAUGUAUGAUUAAAAAUAUAGUGAAGAAUUUUUAAACCUAGUAUUAUAAAGUAAAAAUUAGUUAACUUCCGAUGAUUAUUUGUUAAUUAAGAUAAAAUUAUUUUGAUUUGGGUGAUUUUAAAUAAAGAAAAAUAUUAAAUUACAUGACAAAAAUUCUUUAUAAAAUGUUUAUGAUUUUUACAUUGGUUUUAUCACUUUUCCCACUAUUUUAUUUUAAGAUGACCUGCCUUGUUUAAAACACUGUAUUCAUCUUAGUUAAAUUAGAUUCCAUUUGUAAAAUAAUUAACAAAUGAUUUGCUCUAUUGUACAGUGCGGUUAUAAACUGAGUCAGUAUCUCAAGAUUUGAUCCCCAUUAUCAUCAUCUGUGGCCCUAUUUGUUUUAUAAAUGUAUUGUCUUUUUCCAUGCCUGUCACAUCUCUAUUGCUCUUUCAUUUUUCUCUUUGUCCCUUAUAGGGAGCAUUGCCUAUCUCUAGAUUAAGCAAAAGUUGCAUCAUAAAAAAGCACAAUAACCUGCUCAAUCUUUCUCACACAGAGAAAUGUUUGUUAAGUAAUUAAAGUGUAGAUGAUGAUACAAAGAGCUUGAUUAAAUUAGAUGCCAAAGUACCCUUGUGAUUCAGAAUAUGAAUGGUAUUUAAUUUCUUUGAAAUCAUUAAUUGCUGAGUGAGAUUAAUUAAUGCCAAUAUUCCAGAAGAUGUUCCAGUCAGUAAAAUGUAUACAACGUGCAAAAGAUUCAGAACUCUGAAGGGCAACAUUAUUCUAUAAUUAAGAAUUAAGAAUUAAUUCACAUUAAUUACUGGGGAGAAAUACUUUUUAAGAAUUAAUGACUGAGAAAAUGUUUUUAUUUUUUAUUUAGAAAAUUAUUUUGUGCAUGAGCAUUACCGCAAGUUUUGCAAGAAACAUAAAUUUAAAGAAACAAUUAUGUGCACAAGAUGAAUUUAAUAACAUCUUGAUAUAUUCCACGAUUGCGGUUUUAUUUGGUAAAUCUUUCAAGGCACACCAUUUAAAGAGAAUAAAUGAGUCUUGGAAAUCUUGUAGGUAAGGGUAAAUAUUAGGAUGCAUCCAGUUACAUUUACACACACAUACAGUUACAUUUACACACACAUACACGCAUACAGACUGAGUCACGUGUGUGUAUAUAUAUAUAUGAAUUUACCAAUUGAUGUUAACUAAUAUUUAUAAGAGCCAGUUGGAUUGAUAUAUAUUGUUGAACCUGAAAAAUAUUUAUUAUAUACAUGUUUAAAAUACAGAAAUAAAUAGCAAUUGCACUAGGCAUUUGAAACUGUACUAAAAUAUAAGCUGUGAACAUUUUGUGAUCAUUACAAAUUCUUACACUGAAUAAAUAUUUUUAUUUUUACAAUAUUAA
rnacentral:lncRNA from 1 species